GCUUGGAUACCUCAAUCAGUAGAGCAUGAGACUCUUAAUCUCAGGGUUAUGAGUUUGAGUCUCGCACUAGGCA